CCUACGGGUGGCUGCAGUGAGGAAUAUUGGUCAAUGGCCGUAAGGCUGAACCAGCCAAGCCGCGUGAAGGAUGAAGGAUCUAUGGUUUGUAAACUUCUUUUAUAGGGGAGUAAAGGUAUACACGUGUGGAUAUUUGCAUGUACCCUAUGAAUAAGCAUCGGCUAACUCCGUGCCAGCAGCCGCGGUAAUACGGAGGAUGCGAGCGUUAUCCGGAUUUAUUGGGUUUAAAGGGUGCGUAGGGUGUUUGUUAAGUCAGCGGUGAAAGUUUGUGGCUCAACCAUAAAAUUGCCGUUGAUACUGGAAGACUUGAGUGUGUUUGAGGUAGGCGGAAUGCGUGGUGUAGCGGUGAAAUGCAUAGAGAUCACGCAGAACACCGAUUGCGAAGGCAGCUUACUAAGCCAUAACUGACGCUGAGGCACGAAAGCGUGGGGAGCAAACAGGAUUAGAUACCCGGGUAGUC
rnacentral:rRNA from 1 species